rnacentral:rRNA from 1 species
CACGUAGUUAGCCGGUGCUUCUUCUUCAGGUACCGUCACUUUCGCUUCUUCCCUGACGAAAGAGGUUUACAACCCGAAGGCCUUCAUCCCUCACGCGGCGUCGCUGCAUCAGGCUUGCGCCCAUUGUGCAAUAUUCCCCACUGCUGCCUCCCGUAGGAGUCUGGGCCGUGGCUCAGUCCCAGUGUGGCCGGUCACCCUCUCAGGCCGGCUACCCGUCGUCGCCUUGGUAAGUCACUACCUCACCAACAAGCUGAUAGGCCGCGAGCCCAUCCCCCACCAAAAACUCUUUCCACCCAAACCCAUGCGAGCUUGAGUCAUAUCCAGUAUUAGACCCCGUUUCCAAGGCUUAUCCUGAAGUGAAGGGCAGGUUACUCACGUGUUACUCACCCGUUCGCCACUAAUCCACCCCCGAAGAGGCUUCAUCGUUCGACUUGCAUGUGUUAAGCACGCCGCCAGCGUUCGUCCUGAGCCAGGAUCAAACUCU